CUUUUAUUAUGUUAAUAUGAAUAAUAUAGAUGCAAGAAAAUUACAUACUAGGCUGACUUUUACAAACUGUUUUUUACAAAGGACAUUUUGUAUGAGAUUAUCUGUUAACAUUUUGAGUAAAAUUAGUGUCCCUUAAAAUUUAUUUCAGAAAUACUCUUACAGCUAAUCCAGGUUAACUGCUAGGGAUAUCUGUUCUAUUUUUUUUUUUUAAUCCUCUUUAAAAUCUUGUUUUCCUUAGUGCUCAUAAACAUUUGAGAAUAAAUAUUUGGAGCCUGCCAAUAUAGCUUUGAACUUAAUGUCAGGAAUUAUGUAAUUUCCAAACUACUUUAUUUUUUUUUCUUUUUUUUUUUAACUGUGAAGAAUUUGGCAAGGGUCAUUUAUAUGGCACCAUUGCUGUUCAUAAUUGCAAAGUUAUGAAAAAUGUUCCCUCUAGUUCAGUUUUGAGUCCUUCAUGCCCUGCCAGUUUCUUAAUGUCAUUCAUAUGGACUGGAAGAUUUUAUUUCUUUUGAAAUAACUCUGCAGUCUUAUCACUUCUCCAAAUAUAUUUGGCUUUAUUUCCUUCUUAUUUAGGUUUGAGUUACACUGUCUACAUGAGAGAAACUUUUUUUAUUACAUCAUUUUUACAACUAUUGCACUUUUUCUUUUUUUUUUUUUUUUAGAAUCUUAUUGCUCAAGCUACUAUCCUUACCCUUAUUCUUCUUAUAGAUGUCAUUUUCAAGGGUUUAUAUCAUUUAUUUGAAUUAACCUUUUUAUACAUAAUCUUUUAAAAUCAGAGAUAAUCAAUUUCCUCCAUGCACAGGCAUAACGAUUCCAUUAGGUCCAACUCACUGAGAUAAUUUGUCUUUGCAUUGUCAGACCUGUGCUUUUAGACACUAUCAUGGCUUUUGAACUCCUCUUUUAAAAUCUCUAAUCAAGAAAAUACAUUUAUAUUUAUUUACUAUUUAGAACUUAAAUAUUGUAUAAGCUGCAUUCCUAAAAACUAAGAUACCAUUCUAAAUGUUUGGUGCAUGUAUUGCCUAAAUCAAAAUGUUUUGAGCGAUUAUUAAACAUUCAGAUGUCUCGACUGACCUUAUGCCUACUAAAUCAAAUUCU
rnacentral:lncRNA from 1 species